AUGGGCGUCAGGAAUGGUCGGCGUGGCGGUGGGCCGAGUGGCGUCAACACUGUACAGUUGUUGCAGGAGACGAUCGGCGAGGAGCUGGUUUGGCGGGUGUUAGGGAACCUGAGGAGGGAAGUGAAGUGGAUAUACUUUUAUUGUUUUUUAUUUUAAACACCUUCCCGACCCCGUUUUCUUACUCCCCCUCCUCUUGACUAAAGUUUUAUUUUGUUUACGUUGUAGUUCGAAGGGAAGGGGGGUGGGGGGCAUAAGGGAAAAAGUCGUUUCGGUCGUUAGCAGUCAUGGGCCUGAGGAAGAAAAGCAAAAAUCCUGCCGUCUUCAGUCAUGAGUUCGUGAUCCAGAACCAUGCGGACAUCGUGUCGUGCGUCGCGAUGGUGAUUCUGCUGGGGCUGAUGUUCGAGAUCACAGCCAAGUUUGCCAUCAUGUUCAUCACCGUACAAUACAAUGUCACAUACACCAACAUAGAUUCCCAUUUGGACUGAAAAGAAGUUUCAAACUAUAACCCAGACUUGAAGGCACUGGCAGGUAAUGCGCAAUUACAGAUGUUGAACUGAGAAUUGAUGAUUUGGCAGAUGUUGAAGAACCUGAAGUACAAUUUGUAGAAGAGGAAAGGAGGUUCCCCGAUGCAGAUUUAUUGCCUUACCAGUACAUUAAUGAUCACACAAAUGUUUUAUUGCAUUGCUGUUUGUGGAAUCCUGUUGUGCACAGUUCGACUUAAGGUAGGAAAUGUUAUAAUUAAUGACUGACUACACUUAACGUGUUUUUGGUUAUAAAGCCAUGGAGCUUCCUUAGGUACUGAAUAUUAAAUUACUAUUAUAUUAAUGCAGAUUCAUUAAUUCUUGUAGCUUGGUACCAGCAUGGCCAUAAUCAGAGUAAGAACAGGCUGUGGGUUCUUAGUUUUGGAGUGCUGUUGGGACAUUGAAGAUACAUAAUUUAUUGUCAGUGCAAAGUAA